GACUGCAGGGGUCAUGUGGACGACGGCGAGAAGCACGGCGAGGUGGAUGCGGCGUAGUACCUCACUAGAUUCCCCUCCUGCUCUUCGUCCACAGGAUCAAUUCACCGAAGCAACAUCAGCAACAAUACGUGCAAGCAAACAAGCAAGCAGGCAAGCUGGUUGAUUGAUGAACAGUAGCUGCAGCCUCUUCAUAGGUAACCUUCGAUCAAGCCAUCGAUUCGAUCUGAACAUAACUAGCUCUCGACGGACGGAAUUCACGUGAGCUUGUGAAAGAAAACCGUUUCACGUGCUGGAGUAUACGAGCUAGCACUCUAAAACCCAACAUAAACAUUUUUGUUGAUUAUGGUAUCCAUAUCAGCCUAACUAUUUGCUUGCCUAAUGAUUUUGUUAGUUGGUUGCCUUUGCCUGAUAUGUCUAUCUGCCUAGUUAAACAUUUCUAUUAAAUAUGGUAUCCAUACAGCUGGACUGAAACUUGUAUAGGAACACAUUAGUUCAAUAAUGAAAAAGGCCUGCUUGGAUGGUUUAUACAAUUACAACUCCGUCAGUUCUAAACUUCUAAUACUACAAGAUAUGUGUACAAGUAGAAGCACAUCAGUGCUUGCUGAAUAAUGCCGCCAAAAUCACAUUGAUUUUACAAAGGAUUAGCACAUAGCAUUACUGUUAUGCUAUUUUUAGUACACAUAAAAGUAAACUCUCUUAGGGGAAAGCAACACUGCAUCUGAAUGAAAGAUUCUCUGUCUUUCAGUGGUCAUUGAUGCCGCACACAAGAUGUAGUUAACAACAGGAUAUUGCUUUGAUAUGUGCACUGACAGUUCCAUCUGUUUGAUCAAUUCAUCGAUUCUCCUCCCCCAGUUGGAGCUGCUUACAAUUCCCCUGUUGGCACUUCUGUUAGCCAUUAGUAUAUCAUUAAGCAAAUAAAAGUAAGAGGCUGCGGACUGUACUUUAGACCAAUAAAGUUAGCAGCAAAAGACAUGCUUUCUUUUAGUCAAUCUAUAACCUUUUUGGCAUUGAGUUCUAGUAAAAAAAGCAUGCUUUCUUCUAGUCAAUGAUUUCUACACUAACUUGCCUAAUAAUGACAGAAAGUUGCCUAUAAUAUUUUUUUGGCAUAUGAUUUACGGCAACUAGCAAGCGGAGGGGAUGAGAGAGGUGUCGGAGUACCAGCGACCAGCAAGAGAAACAAGAGGAAGAGCCAAGGAGACAGCGCCAUCUGUGCGCCACGACCAUCUAGCAGGUGGAGCUGGAUCCGGGAAAGCAUUGUCUCGAGUGGUCGAGGAACUGGUCCGUAAAUUACCGAGUUUUGUAAAACAGGAGGCGUCUGAGAGGGCACAUCAAGAUGGAAGCUCACCUUUCAGGUCCAUGGCCAUCAAAACGAGGGGCAGCAGUUGUGGCAAUGGAGGAGAGGACAGAUGGAGAAGGGGAGGUUAAGCGGGGGUGUUUGGGGAGGUAGCGACUGGGAAGGAGGGUUUGGUGCGUCGGCGCUAAUGUCGGGAACGGAGCAGCAGUUGCUAUCAUGACAGAUUCUCCCCUGGGAGCCAUGGGCGUGAGGCGGCCGUUUGUUUCCUUUUUUGGUUUGCCAGCUGGAUCCGGGGAGAGGCCCACUACUAAUUUUGGGGUGUGUGCCCUGGGCCGCUAGCCAGCCGUUGCUGGCUAGUCGCGUCCAAAAAAAGUAGAAUGCUUGUCUUGCCUAAAAAAGAGUAAAAUGC